rnacentral:rRNA from 1 species
UACGUAGGGUGCGAGCGUUUAAUCGGAAUUACUGGGCGUAAAGCGUGCGCAGGCGGUUCGCUAAGACCGAUGUGAAAUCCCCGGGCUUUAACCUGGGAACUGCAUUGGUGACUGGCGGGCUAGAGUAUGGCAGAGGGGGGGUAGAAUUCCACGUGUAGCAGUGAAAUGCGUAGAGAUGUGGAGGAAUACCGAUGGCGAAGGCAGCCCCCUGGGCCAAUACUGACGCUCAUGCACGAAAGCGUGGGGAGCAAACAGG